rnacentral:rRNA from 1 species
UACGGAGGGGGGCUAGCGUUGUUCGGAAUUACUGGGCGUAAAGCGCGCGUAGGCGGACCUGCAAGUCGGGGGUGAAAGCCCGAGGCUCAACCUCGGAACUGCCUUCGAUACUGCGGGUCUCGAGUCCGGGAGAGGUGAGUGGAAUUCCUAGUGUAGAGGUGAAAUUCGUAGAUAUUAGGAAGAACACCAGUGGCGAAGGCGGCUCUCUGGGACGGUACUGACGCUGAGACGCGAAAGCGUGGGGAGCGAACAGG